GGACCCUACUGCUAUCGGGGUGGGACUAAGACAUGCGAGUCGUGCGUCUCUAAGCUAUGGUAGAGACGCGGCGUACGGCUCAGUAACACGUGGCUAACCUACCCUUGGGACGGAGACAACCCCGGGAAACUGGGGCUAAUACCCGAUAGGUGAAGAGGCCUGGAAUGGUUCUUCACCGAAAAGACGUUGAAACCAUGCUUUUCAACGUUGCCUAAGGAUGGGGCCGCGUCCGAUCAGGUUGUUGGUGGGGUAACGGCUCACCAAGCCUAUAACCGGUACGGGCCGUGAGAGCGGGAGCCCGGAGAUGGGCACUGAGACAAGGGCCCAGGCCCUACGGGGCGCAGCAGUCGCGAAAACUCCGCAAUGCGCGAAAGCGUGACGGGGCUACCCCGAGUGUCGUCCGCUGAGGAUGACUUUUCCCCGGUGUAAGGAGCCGGGGGAAUAAGGAGAGGGCAAGUCUGGUGUCAGCCGCCGCGGUAAUACCAGCUCUCCGAGUGGUAGGGACGAUUAUUGGGCUUAAAGCGUCCGUAGCCGGCCCGGCAAGUCUUCCGUUAAAUCCAGCGACCUAAUCGUUGGGCUGCAGGAGAUACUGUUGGGCUAGGGGGCGGGAGAGGCCGACGGUAUUCCCGGGGUAGGGGUGAAAUCCUAUAAUCCCGGGAGGACCACCAGUGGCGAAGGCUGUCGGCUAGAACGCGCUCGACGGUGAGGGACGAAAGCUGGGGGAGCGAACCGGAUUAGAUACCCGGGUAGUCCCAGCUGUAAACGAUGCGGGCUAGGUGUUGGGGUGGCUACGAGCCACUUCAGUGCCGCAGGGAAGCCAUUAAGCCCGCCGCCUGGGGAGUACGGCCGCAAGGCUGAAACUUAA
rnacentral:rRNA from 1 species